rnacentral:lncRNA from 1 species
UCAAUACAAAAUCAAUAUAAAUGUCUAAAAACACACAAAUUGUGUUCGAUUACAAUAACAAAUAAACUCAAAUAAACAAAUAAUAUUAAAUUAUUAUAUAACAAAAUCAUGAAUUUCACUCGAAAUAAAAUAAAUAAAAACAGCAUACCCACAAAUAUGGUACAAGUACCAGUACCAGUAACGGGUAACCACCAAGUAUGGGUACUUCACCAUUUUAGAAGUACUCCAUGCUUUAUAGCAUAAGAUGCAUAAGGAAUGUUUCAGCCAUUAUUUCGUAUAUAAAAUGCAAGCAAUAUCCCAAUCAUCUUCCACAUCAUUAAUUAGAACAAAAUAUAAAAUGACAAUAGGUAUUUAGCUCUACAGACAAUACCUGGAUAGAUGCUUUCCCAUUCUUUCAACAAAUAUUGAAUAAAAGUCACAAACCAAAGGUAGGUGGCAGUUCACAAUUUUAUGCUCUGAGACUAUGUAGUUCAGAUCAAGAAAUAUUGGGUAGCUGUUUUUACCAAUUUUAAGGCUGACAGAUAUGGUGACAGUUUGGUUUGAUGAAGCUGAAAUGCAUAUAUUAGUCUACGCAUAUAUCACAAUAUUUCGGAAGUCAGCGUGAUAACAGGCAAAUAGAGUAUAAUAAAGACUGAUUUAAGUUAAGACCAUUUUACUAAAAGUAACAGUAUAUAUUUAAUUAUUUAUGUAACACAUUCAUAUAAAGAAUGUUAUAUAGGAAGUUAGAGUUGAUUAUAAAGAAUACUGAUCAGUAAUUCCUUGGAUGAAUUUGUCUCAGUAGUCUUUCAUUCUUAAACUCCAAGUUCACAACACUAAAUUGAUCAUCAUCAACUCCAACUUUGCUCUGAGCAUAAACAAGAAUAGCAAUAGGAAAACAUUUUCAGCACACCAAAAGCAAUGGUAAGAAAAGCGAAACGAAGAUAAUAAAUUGAAAGGAAGAUUAACCAAUUAACAGAAUUCAAUUCCAAGACAGUAUUCAGGGUAACCAUUAAUACUGUAAUUAGAACUCCUUCCAUAAAUCCUUUUUGUAACCAUAGAGCUCUUGCUAUUGUUGUCUGCCUAUAAUUACAACCCUUUGAUCCGGUAUAAAAUACAUCAUGAACCUAUACCAAGGAGACAAUUGAGCACACAAGGGUAAAAUAAAACAAUACAAUAGCUAACAAAAAAACUUUGAAAAAAAACUGAAUAUGCAUCUAAUAUUUAAGUGACAGAAUUUGCAACAUUAGAUUGAUUGUCCCAGAAGACCACAAUUCCAAUUGCAAAACACCUAUAUAAUAAAAUUUAUUAACAAUAACAAACAUCAUGACUUCACAACUUGCUCAUAUCCCUUCUUCCACACGCUACGUGAUCUGUGCAAAUUUCAAUUUUUAAUUGUUAGGGUCAUACUAUCCAUUCUGCUGCCUUUCUGAAUUGGCACACUAUCUUGUCCUCUGUUUCCUAGAUAGUUCAAUUUUUUCAUCAAUAAGAAAAAAAAGUGGCAUACUAUCGUAAUAGAAAGUUCAUGAUCAACCCCUUCAAAGUUCAAACAAUUAUUGAAUCUGAUAACCAAAUAAAGUAAUGUGAUUCAACAACAUAUUUCUAAACUAACAUGGUUUGAAAAUGAGCUCAAAAGAGUACGAAAGUUUGGAGCUUAAACAAUUAAAAGCUAAGCAUUUAACUUAUAGCUCAAUCCUACUACUAGCAGAGUGACUUCACGGCCUCAUCAACAUUCUUCUUUAAACAAUAUGAAUGACUGUAUAACUGCCUCAUAUGUGACAGCAGAGGGCUUAAGACCCUCUUUCAUCGUCUUUUUCAUCACCUUACUAGCAGUUGCAAAAUCUCCAGCUUUGCCAAGGUAACAAACCAAAGUGUUAUAUGUGACAAUAUGGGGAUUAACCCCAGUUUCUUCCAUUUGGUUAAGCAUUAUUCUUCUUACAUAACACAUUUAUGAGAACAUAGUAGCGAAUGCUAUCAAGACUGAACCUUACACGUUUCAAUUGUGACAUAACAACACUGGCAUCACCUAUCCUUCCAGCAAUGCUUAAGGCAGAUAUCAAAUUGCGUGUAAACAAUUGCAUCCGGUCAGCAUCCAAUACUCAACAUCUCAUCAAAAUAUUGCAUGGCUUUAAUAUUGUUCACACCACAUAAUGCAUAUAUCAACACAAUAUAAGUAACAGCAUUUCCUUCCAGCUUUGCAGAACCCAUCAAUCAAGCAAUUCUAUGGAACAGUGUUUGGCCUAUUUUCCUUCUCAGUUUUCCUCUCUGCCAACAAACUCAAACAAUUUUCUUUGCUCCCAACUUUACUAAGUUUGUCAAUCAAAGUAUUAUACAAGACCAUAUCAGGUUCCACACCAAUCCUAUUCUUUUCUCCUUUACCUCUCAAUUUAUCAAAUACCCUCAACGCCUGAUUGAUCCUCCUAGCCUUGCAUAUGUGAUUAAUAAUAAUCCCAAAGGUUAUAACACUGGAUCCGUAUUUUCGUUUCUUCCAUCUCUGCCAAUAGUUUAAUGAUCUUUUGAAUCUCUUUGCCUAUUUUCGUUUCUUCCAUCUCUGCCAACAGUUUAAUGAUCUUUUGAAUCUCUUUGCCUUUCGAGCCCGUCAACAAGGCAUUGCAAGAUGCCGCUUCAACAGGACAACCCAAUUUCAUCACACCACCCAAGAUCAUUGAGGCACAAUAUUGUCAUCUCAAUUUAUCGAAUUUAAUGUCAUAUAGACUCAAAGAUUAAGUUUGUGUCUAUGAUCAUCGAGGCACAAUACUGCCCAUCCAAUUCCAAGUUCAAAUGAAUAAAAAACUCAUAUUGAAGGCCACGUGUAGGGUCAAUAUCCAAUAUCAUAUCAAUAAAAAAUUCAUAUGGCAAGCCACAUUUUGGGUCAAUAAUUCAUCUUGUAAUUAAAUAUCAGGUUUUCCAAUCAUACUAUCCCAAUUUCAUUUUAUAUGAAUAAAAAGUUUACAUUGCAAGCCACAUUUUGGAUAAAGAAUUCAUCUCGUAAUUAAACUUCGGGUCAUCCAAUCAUAUUAUCUCAAAUUUUCAAUUUCAUUUCAUAUGAAUAAAAAAUUCAUAUUGAAGACCACAUUUAUGGUUAAGAAUCUAUCUCAUAAUUAAAUUUCAGAUCAUCCAAUAAUACUAUCUCAAUUUCAUAUUAAUAAAAAACUCAUAUUGAAGGUCACAUUUAGGGUCAAAAAUCUAUCUCGUAAUUAAAUUUCAAGUCAUCCAAAAAUGCUAUCUCAAUUUCUUUUCAUACGGGUAAAAAACUCAUAUCGCAAGCCACAUUUUAGUUCAAGAGUUCAUUUCGUAAUUAAGUUCUAGGUCUUCCAAUCAUACUAUCUCAAUUUCAUUUCAUAUGAAUAAAAAAUUCAUAUUGCAAGCCACAUUUUGGGUCAAGAAUUAUCUCGUGAUUAAAUUCCAAAUAAUCCAAUCCUACUAUCUCAAAUUCUCAAUAUCUUUUAAUAUGAAUAAAAAAUUCAUAUUGAAGGCCACUUUUACUGUAAAAAAUCGGGUCAUCCAAAAAAUAUUAUGGCAAUUUCAUAUGAAUAAAAAAUUCAUACUACAAACCACAUUUUUGGUCAAGAAUUCAUCUCGUAAUUAAAUACCUGGUCAAUGAAACAUAUUAUAUCAGAUUCAUUUCAUAUGAAUAAAAAAUUCAUAUUGAAGGCCACGUAUAAAUCAAGAAUUUAUCUCAUAGUUAAAUUUGAGAUCAUCCAAGCAUAGCGACUUUUCAAUUUUUAUUAACCUUCUCAAUCAAGGAUAACCAAGAAUCAUCAAGAUUAUACAUUCUUGGAUAAUCAAUUAUAAUGCUGUUGAAAACAAAAACCUACCCCCAAAACGUUUGUGUCAAACACAGUUUUGGAGACAAAGAAUGUUUGCUCAAUAGAAGAACGGAAUCAAUAGAUCAGAAACCAAAGGAUAAUGGGUUGAAAAUGAAAUAGAGAGAGAUUCAUAUCUCUUUCAAAUGAAGCAAAUCAUGGACACAAGAAACUUGAAUCCAAAAAAAAAAUUAUGUAACUUCUUGGCCACCUUUUUAUGGCACAAAUUCAAAUAAGAAUUCUAGAUUCAUAGAGAUCGGGCGUUCUUGGUUGAAUUGAAUGUAGGAGGACAAUUUACAAAAUUUUGCAUCAAACAAUAUCGAGACAAUUUACCAUCAUCAUUACAAUUUAUCAAAUUUAAACCAUAUAAGCACACAAUACCAUCGUCCCAUUUUAUUGAAUUCAUGAUCAUAUUCACAUGUAUAAAUUUUUCAUCCAAGUUCGUCGAAGCUAUGGCAAAAUACUAUAAUCUCAAUUUAUCAAAUUUAAGAUCAAUUAGACUCAAAUCCAAAUUUUAUCUAGACUUAGAUAUCAUAUUUUUGCGUCUAGGGCAUCAACGCAUAACAACAUCAUCCCAAUUUACCAAAUUUAGAAUCAUCCAGGCUCAAAUAUCAUAUCUUGCAUCUAAAAUCAUUGAGGCACAAUAUCAUCAUCCUAAUAUACCGAACUUAAGAUUGUCUAGGAUUAAAUUUCUUAUCCAAGGUCGUUGAGGAACAAUAUCAUCAUCCUAAUUUAUCAAUCAUUUAGGAUCGUCUACACUUAAAUAUAAAGUUACAAUCAUUCUAACUAUCAAUUAUAGGAACAUAUAAGAACAAAUUAUGCAUUCAAGAUCACAGGGCACAACACCAUCCCAAUUUAUUGAACUUAGAAUCAUUUAGGCUCAGAUAAAAAUUUUACCCAAAGUCUGGAGGCUCAACGCUAUCAUCAUAAUUUAACAAAUUUAGGUUCAUCAAAUAUCAAAUUUUGAGGCACGAUAUCAUCAUCUCAAUCUAUCAAGUAUAUGAUCAUGUAGGUCAAAAAUCAUAUUUGGCAUCCAUGGUCAUUGAUACACCAAUGUUCCAAUUUAACAAAUUAGGGACAUCUAGGCUCAAAUAUUGAAUUUUGUAUCCAAUAUGGCUGAGGUGCAAUAUAAUCAUCUAAGUUUAUAGAAUUUCCUUUCAAUAAGACAAAAAAGUCAAAUUCAAAUUCGUGGUCGUCUAGGCACAAAACCAUCAUCCUAAUGUAUCGAACUUAGGACCAUUUAGACUUAUAUAUCAUAUUUUGCAUCCGAUGUCGAGAUGCAACAUCAAUCUAUCGAGGCACAAAACCAUCAUCCUAAUGUAUCGAACUUAGGACCAUUUAGACUUAAAUAUCAUAUUUUGCAUCCAAUGUCGAAAUGCAACAUCAAUCCAUCGAGGCAAAAAACCAUCAUCCUAAUUUAUUUAUUUCAACAUCAUAUCCUCGUCUAUAAAUUUUGCAUCCAAAUUCAUUGAAGCACCAUACCAUAGUCCGAAAAUCAAAUUUUACAUCUAAGUUGAUCAAAGCUUAAUACGACCAUCAUCCUCUUAAUUUACCAAAUUUAAAAUAGUCUAUUAAGCUCAAACCCUAAGACCAUCUAGGCUCAAAUGCCAUUUAUGGCAUCUAAGGUAAAAUACCCAUCAUUCUAAUUUAUCGAAUUUAGGAUAACAUGCUCCUAUAUAAAUUUUGAAAUCCAGGUUCAAUAUUAAUCAUCUCCCUAUCAAAUUCCACAUCUAAGUUGAUCAAAGCAAAUAUCAUAAUCCUCCCAAUUUAACAAAUAUAGGAUAGUCUACAAGGCUCAAAUAUCAAAUUUCGAAUCCAAGAGGUCAUCGAGGCUUAAUCCAUCAUUUUAAUAUACCGAAUUUAAGAUCAUCGUUAAAUAUCAUUUUUGGCAUCUAGGGCAAAAUAUCCAUCAUUCCAAUUUAUCGACUUUAGGAUAAUAAGCUCCUAUGUAAAUUUUGCAAACGAGGUACAAUAUGAAGCAUCUCACUAUCAAAUUCCACAUCUAAGUUGAUCAAAACACAAUAUCAUAAUCCUCCCAAUUUAUCAAAUAUAGGAUAGUCUACAAGGCUCAAAUAUCAAAUUUCGAAUCCAAGAGGUCAUCGAGGCUUAAUCCAUCAUUUUAAUAUACCGAAUUUAAGAUCAUCGUUAAAUAUCAUUUUUGGCAUCUAGGGCAAAAUAUCCAUCAUUCCAAUUUAUCGACUUUAGGAUAAUAAGCUCCUAUGUAAAUUUUGCAAACGAGGUACAAUAUGAAGCAUCUCACUAUCAAAUUCCACAUCUAAGUUGAUCAAAACACAAUAUCAUAAUCCUCCCAAUUUAUCAAAUAUAGGAUAGUCUACAAGGCUCAAAUAUCAAAUUUCGAAUCCAAGAGGUCAUCGAGGCUUAAUCCAUCAUUUUAAUAUACCGAAUUUAAGAUCAUCGUUAAAUAUCAUUUUUGGCAUCUAGGGCAAAAUAUCCAUCAUUCCAAUUUAUCGACUUUAGGAUAAUAAGCUCCUAUGUAAAUUUUGCAAACGAGGUACAAUAUGAAGCAUCUAUCUCAUGAUCCAACUUCAUAUCAAUAAAAAAUUCAUAUGACAAGCCACAUUUCGGGUCAAGAAUUCAUCUUGUAAUUAAAUAUCAGGUUUUCCAAUCAUACUAUCCCAAUUUCAUUUUAUAUGAAUAAAAAAAUUAUAUUGCAAGCCACAUUUUAGAUCAAGAAUUCAUCUCGUAAUUAAACUUCAGGUCAUCCAAUCAUACUAUCUCAAAUUUUCAAUUUCAUUUCAUAUGAAUAAAAAAUUCAUACUACAAACCACAUUUUAGGUCAAUAAUUCAUCUCGUAAUUAAACUUCAGGUCAUCCAAUCAUACUAUCUCAAAUUUUCAAUUUCAUUUCAUAUGAAUAAAAAAUUCAUACUACAAACCACAUUUUAGGUCAAUAAUUCAUCUCGUAAUUAAACUUCAGGUCAUCCAAUCAUACUAUCUCAAAUUUUCAAUUUCAUUUCAUAUGAAUAAAAAAUUCAUACUACAAACCACAUUUUAGGUCAAUAAUUCAUCUCGUAAUUAAACUUCAGGUCAUCCAAUCAUACUAUCUCAAAUUUUCAAUUUCAUUUCAUAUGAAUAAAAAAUUCAUAUUGAAGAACACAUUUAUGAUUAAGAAUCUAUCUCAUAAUUAAAUUUCGGAUCAUCCAAAAAUACUAUCUCAAUAUCAUAUUAAUAAAAAAACUCAUAUUGAAGGUCACAUUUAGGGUCAAGAAUCUAUCUCGUAAUUAAAUUUCAAGUCAUCCAAAAAUGCUAUCUCAAUUUCUUUUCAUACGGGUAAAAAAUUCAUAUCGCAAGCCACAUUUUAGAUCAAGAGUUCAUCUCGUAAUUAAGUUUCGGGUCUUUCAAUCAUACUAUCUCAAUUUCUUUUCAUAUGAAUAAAAAAUUCAUAUUGCAAGCCACAUUUUGAGUCAAGAAUUAUCUCGUGAUUAAAUUCCAAAUAAUCCAAUCAUAUUAUCUCAAAUUCUCAAUCUCUUUUCAUAUGAAUAAAAAAUUCAUAUUGAAGGCCACUUUUACUGUCAAAAAUCGGGUCAUCCAAAAAAUAUUAUGGCAAUUUCAUAUGAAUAAAACAUUCAUACUACAAACCACAUUUUAGGUCAAUAAUUCAUCUCGUAAUUAAAUACCUGGUCAUCGAAACAUAUUAUAUGAGAUUCAUUUCAUAUGAAUAAAAAGUUCACAUUGAAGGCCACAUAUAAGUCAAGAAUUUAUCUCAUAGUUAAAUUUGAGAACAUCUAAGCAUAGCGACUUUUCAAUUUUUAUUAACCUUCUCAACCAAGAAUAACCAAGAAUCGUCAAGAUUAUACAUUCUUGGAUAAUCAAUUAUAAUGUUGUUGAAAACAAAAACCUACCCCCAAAACAUUUGUGUCAAACACAGUUUUGGAGACAAAGAAUGUUUGCUCAAUAGAAGAACGGAAUCAAUAAACCAGAAACAACAAAGUCUGUAACUUCGUUGCCAUCUUUUUAUGGCACCAAUUCAAAUCACAAUUCUAGAUUCAUAGAGAUCAGUUGUGGAUGUCUUUACAAUGUCGAGCAAAUCAAGUAUUCAUAUAUCAAAUCCCUAAAUAAAUAAAUCAAUCCAUUGAUUUAUCAUUUCGGCUUCCUCAACUGAUCCUACAUUUGAACUGUUUUCCAGCUUGAUCGUCAAUAACUAUUUCAAAUUUAUGUGCCAUCAAAGUUAUAAACUAUAAGACAUCAAAUCAGAAAUCUUGUUAUAAAUAACAUAUAUAUGUAAUUAUAAAUCAAAAUACCAUUGAAGAUUUGAAGAACUUGAAUAUACCAACAGAAGCGAGGAAUUAAGAAAAACAAGCAUAACACAACAUAAUCAAAUCCAUUGAAUAAACAUAUUUAUAUAACUGAGAAAAAAAACAUCAGUUUGUAGCAUUCGCCACACAAAAUGAACAAUGAUUAAAUAAUGAUUCUCAUUUCUAAGUUCUAAAACUAGUUUUUAGGUAGCCAAGCAACUAUCCUCUUCACAAUACUAGACCAACUAUGUUGACAACUAUAACUAUAUACAUUAUUUUUUAAAGAAUUGGCUGAUUACUAUGUCAACAGCUAUAAUGAGAGGGAAUAGCUACUUUGGAAGGAAAAAACAUUCAGUCUUUUGCUUAAUUAUUCAGUAUACAUAUUUAUUUUCUAUGUGUAUGCUUUAUUCAACAGGCUUAUUCAAUAAGAUAUUUAGCUCUUUAGUACACAGAUGAAGUCCAGCAAAGAAAAAGAUAUUCUAUAAAAAAACUGAAGCAUAAAAAGUAUGCAGAAGUAGAAAACUAGCAAAGUACUAUUGAUAAAAAUAACACGAUAUAUGAGAGAGCAUGGGAUCUGGUACAUAUUUCAAGAGAAUUUCCAAAAAAUUAUUGGUCAUUGACUAUAUCAAAAAUUGUGUACCUCAUUACCACACUUCAAGCCUGUGCACCUAAUCUUCCGUUGCAAAUCAGAAUCAAGCUUAGUGAGCAUAUAGCCCAACCCAACGACACAACCUCUACUUCAAACUCAUGUUCACAGACCGAUAUGUUUGCACAAUGAUAUCAUAAUCAGAGGAAAUAUAUGGUAACAUCAAUACAGUGGCAUGAAAAUCGUAUCAACAUAAGAUCUAAGACGCAUAGGUACGGUACUAGUACGAGUACGUGAUAUGGUAUUUUUUUUUUAAUAAGGUAUGGAUACAUCAAUGAAAAACAUUAAUUUUUUUAUAUAAAUUAACUUAGAGAGUUAAAUUGUUCAAUUCACAAUACAAAAUCAAAAUAAAUAUCUAAAAAAUCACAAAUUGUGUUCGAUUACAAUAAUAAAUAAACUCAAAUAAACAAAUAAUAUUAUAUUACUAUAUAACAAAAUCAUGAAUUUCACUCGAAAUAAAAUAAAUAAAAACAGAAUACCCACAAAUAUGGUACGAGUACCAAUACCGGGUAAGCACCCAGUAUGGGUACUUCACCAUUUUAGAAGUACUCCAUGCUUUAUAGCAUAAGAUGCAUAGGAAAUGUUUCAACCAUUAUUUCGUAUAUAAAAUGCAAACAAUAUCCCAAUCAUCUUCCACGUCAUUAAUUAGAACAAAAUAUAAAAUGACAAUAGGUAUUUACCUCUACAAACAAUACCUGGACAGAUGUUUUCCCCAUUCUUUCAACAAAUAUUGAAUAAAAGUCACAAACCAAAGGUAGGUGGCAAUUCACAAUUUUAUGCUCCAAGACUAUGUAGAUCAGAUCAAGAAAUAUUGGGUAGCUGUUUUUAUCAAUUUUAAGGCAGACAGAUUUGGUGACAAUUUGGUUUGAUGAAGCCGAAAUGCAUAUAUUAGUCUACGCAUAACUGAUAAUAUUUCGGAAGUCAACGUGAUAACAGGCUAAUAAAGUAUAAUAAAGACUGAUUUAAAUUUAAACCAUUUUACUAAAAGUAAUAGUAUACAUUUAAUUAUUUAUGUAACAACUCAUUCAUAUAAAG